UUUUUCAUCUGGCUGUUGUGGUGUGCAAAAUUUUGUACAUUGCUUUUGCUGCACUGCAACACUUUACAGAUGUGGAAGAUGUG
ensembl:miRNA